rnacentral:lncRNA from 1 species
UGAACAAGCUUUUUGUCACUGGGUGUUUACAUUAGCAACAUACAAUCAAUCAAUUUAAACUUGUGUUAAAUAAUAGCCAUUUUAUAUUUAUUUAUUUGUUCGGGUGGGGGACAGAAGGAUUUCAUAUAUGAAUAUGGUUGCCUGGUAAGAGCUGAAAAUUAUGCAUGAUUAGCGAUAGAUUGAAAUGAAUAAUAAUGCCCUCCCUUCCCUUCCUCAUCCUUCAUUUAUAAAUUUAAACUGACCACCACGGAAUAGCCCAAUAGUGUUGAAAGUAACGUUAAACACCAAUCAAUCAAAAACCCUUCCAUAGAAUAUUAAAUAAUUGUCCCUCAACAGUUAUUGUCCGUGUAGUUCUUAUAUCUAUCCAGCUUAUCGUC